AACACUGCAGGCCAACUCUUGGUAGAUUUCUAAUGUGCUGCUGGCCACUGAAUUUUUUCUGUCGUGUAGCCGCUCCCCAUCUCAGCGUGUGCUAUCCAUGGAAGCCGGCUCCUCCACUCAAGCCCUCCUAUGCAACGCCGACGAGGAUGCUACUUCGUCUGAACCAAUCUUCACGACCACGUGCAGGUAUACACAUGUGCUCCCCUGCCACCCCUGCACUGAUUUAAGGCGAAAUCCAAUUGGGAGUUAUUGAUAGGCACCAAUGUAUUCUUGGUUCAGUUCCCCUGUCUUGUAUUACGUUGAUCCUUUUGGUAAGAUCAAACUGAACAUACUGAACAUCAUUUGCCCAAACAAGCUGAACGCCUUGUUACAUUGUUGCCCAAUUCUGUAAAAUUGAUCAUAGCACUCCUGCUAUCAUGUCAUGUUUGCUAAUACUUAUUGAGCUAUAAAACAAUGUUUUCUGUUUAUAAGCUAGCCCUUCUUAUUAUGUUUCAGAAGAUUAAUAGUACCCAUUACGUUACUAUAGUACAGUGUGAUAUGCAGAACCUGAGUUUUGGUUGCCAAGCAAAUGUUUGUGCUAAUUCCCACAAGAAAUUUGUGUUUGAAGAAUUAUUACUUUAUCAGGGAAAUAUCUUUUAUAUGGCUUCAUGAAAUCAAAUAUGACACUAGAUUUGCAGAAUGACUAAGCGGCAUAGGAAAUUGAUUUAGCACUACCUCAUUAAACAUGAAGACUUAUUCUUGAUUUUGUGUUGAUGUUUCAGAUGUAAUUUUUCUCAUAUGACAUCAGGGAUGUAGGUUGAUUGGGUGAACAAGCUUCCUGUGAAACAUCCAGAUCCCGGGGGCAGUGCCUCCGUUCAGCAUCCCACGUGGCGACAUCCUCCGACAUAAUGGAAAACACCGGCAGGGGAGAGAGCAGAGCAGGAGGGGUAUUGGGUCCAUACCAUUGUGGGCAUUGCAAGUGCCAUGAUUGUGGUUAUUACUCAUAGAAGAUUCUAUUCCUGUGAGCGGAUUAAACAAAGUUGAGUAAACAUCAUCCAUACGAGAUACAUGUGCUAAUUAAGUUUAGAGGAGAAAGUGGUUCUUUAUUCUUGUAAUUUUGGUGCAGAUGUCAUAUAGGGGCAGAGAACAAUGGUCUUUUGUGACAGCCUGUUAACUUUUUGGAGCUGCCAGGUAAAAUUUGGUACGAAUUUAUGUCAGUUCUACCUUUCCAUGAUGUUUAAUUGCUCGGUUCUUAAGGGUUUGUAAGAGGAGAUGGAUUUUGGACUACUCUAUUUCGGAUGCCAGUAACGCAAAUCUGCAGAUGAAAAAUAAAAGAGUGUGCAUGGUGUUUUUUCUUAUAGAAUACUUUUAUAUGCCUUGUUCUAUUUUGCUUCAGGUUUAGGACUAUUUGGUCUGCUACAUAAUCCAUGUUUUCAACUGCAAAAUUUUAGUUUUAUUAUUAUCAUAUUUACUAUUUCUCAGUAGUAAUACAUAACACGUCACUGGUGAAAAGCCUACUGGAAAGAUUAAUUACUCAAUAAUGUUGUCUUAAGAAUAGUAGUAUU
rnacentral:lncRNA from 1 species